rnacentral:tRNA from 1 species
GGACAGGUGGCCGAGCGGUCGAAGGCGCACGCUUGGAAAGCGUGUAGGCGGGUAACCGUCUCGUGGGUUCGAAUCCCACCCUGUCCGCCA